AUCAAACUGAUUAGUGUGUUUAAUUCAUAUCAUGACAUUCCCAGCACCGAAAUCUGAAUAGUUAGACAACAAUGUAAACCUUCAUCGCCGGAAUCGGAAUGAAGGUUCAUUUCCUUUUACACAACAUCAGAAUUUGCAUGGUACUAAAGCCGCCUAUAACUCACCACAGGAUCAAUGCUUACUGGAGCAUAGCACAACGCAUGACAGACUCAGAUGCACCAUUCUCAAGUCUGAAGCAUUCAAACGACGAGCAUUCAUAUCCGUUCCAGGAACAAAGCAAAGUUGUACUAGAGGCUAGACCUACUACUAGAUGAAGUUCUUAGCUUAUCCCACCGGCAACAACAUUCCAACGAUCCAAUUAUCACCAACGGCAUCAAUGUUACCAAAAAAGAGGCAAUCAAGAAACCCAGCGCAGCUUUGAGAGCACGAUCAGUUGCUCAUGAUGAUGUUGGAUAUUACAUUCCCCAGAACUCCUUCUUCUGCUUCUGGUUGCGGAGAUCUGGUAGAAAUAUCAGGGAGUGUAUAAGUGUGUAGUCUAGGAUCAUGUACAGAAGGAACAUAGUUAAGUUAGCAAAACAUACUUCCAAUUUAACAGAAUGGGGACAAGACAUUAAGCAGAUUAUAUAUGCACAUAAAAGCAUGUGGCUUUUCAGGGAAAGCGGAACAAGAAAGUAUGCAGUCGAUAUCCGUCAGCAAAUAGCACAGGAACAUACAAGCAAGUAAAAGUACUGAUAAUGAAAAUAAAUACAAAAUGCUAUCUGAAGAGAAGGUAUGACUCAC
rnacentral:lncRNA from 1 species